rnacentral:rRNA from 1 species
ACAUACGACCACAGGGUGUGGAGAACAGGGCUUCCCGUCCGCUCAGCCGUACUUAAGCCACACGCCGGUAAGUUAGUAGUUAGGUGGGUGACCACUAGCGAAUCCUUACUGUUGU